UUGGUUCUUUAGUCACAUGCAGCCUAAAAUCUUUGUGUCAAAAACAUAUCACGUGAGUCUGAUUCAUGAUGAAGCUGAUUGUACCACAAAGUAAUGAUGAACUAAUAUUAGGCCGAUAACAUUGAUCAGAUUCAUCACGAUCUCAUCAAUUCACAACUAAUAGAUCCACUUUUCAACACAAUCGAACAUGGCCGGAGGUUUUGUCACUCGAGCAUUUGAAUCAAUGCUCAAAGAAUCUUACGGAAAGAUCACUUCAGACCGCAAUCCAGUCGUAUUUAGUUUUGCUCUGAGAGGAGUGCUUUCUUCUCGUUCUCCGUCAUGAAUGAAUGAUUCGGUGGAAUUGGAGAGUGGUAACCUCAGAGAGGGCAAGACGGAGAGAUGCGAAAAGAGAUGAAAAGCUGUCGGAAAUGGCGACGGAGUUCCUCUCGACCACCUCAACUGCUCUCAGAAUCUCCGUUUGACUGAUAACUGAUCCUCUGUUUCUUUGGUGAUUGGAUCGGUGUUAUCUUCAAGGUUUUGAUGAUCUUGUUCGUUGUGUUGCUGAGAAAUUUGGUGGUUGUUAUCUAGGGUUUCUGAAUUCAUUGCUUCCAUUCGUCUCAGUUUGUUCGUUUGCUGGCUUCGGUUUGAUUGAAUACUGGAUCUGGGAUAAGAUUUUUUAUCGGAGAUGAUCUCCAUUGAUGGGUUUGAGCAGAAGUUGGG
rnacentral:lncRNA from 1 species